rnacentral:rRNA from 1 species
UACGUAGGGCGCAAGCGUUGUCCGGAAUUAUUGGGCGUAAAGAGCUCGUAGGCGGUUUGUCGCGUCUGCUGUGAAAACUCGAGGCUCAACCUCGGGCUUGCAGUGGGUACGGGCAGACUAGAGUGCGGUAGGGGUGACUGGAAUUCCUGGUGUAGCGGUGAAAUGCGCAGAUAUCAGGAGGAACACCGAUGGCGAAGGCAGGUCACUGGGCCGCAACUGACGCUGAGGAGCGAAAGCAUGGGGAGCGAACAGG